rnacentral:rRNA from 1 species
UAGUCCUAGCCGUAAACGAUGGGUACUAAGUGUUGGCCGAUCGACCCGGUCAGUGCUGUAGCUAACGCGUUAAGUACCCCGCCUGGGGAGUACGACCGCAAGGUUGAAACUCAAAGGAAUUGACGGGGGCCCGCACAAGCGGUGGAGCAUGUGGUUUAAUUCGACGCAACGCGAAGAACCUUACCCAGGCUUGACAUCCUAGUGACAGCCCCAGAGAUGGGGUCUUCCUUCGGGACUCUAGGACAGGUGCUGCAUGGCUGUCGUCAGCUCGUGUCGUGAGAUGUUGGGUUAAGUCCCGCAACGAGCGCAACCCUUGUCCUUAGUUGCCAGCAGUUCGGCUGGGCACUCUAAGGGGACUGCCCCGGAAAACGGGGAGGAAGGUGGGGAUGACGUCAAGUCCUCAUGGCCCUUACGCCUGGGGCUACACACGUGCUACAAUGGUCGGUACAAAGGGUUGCAAUACCGCGAGGUGGAGCUAAUCCCAUAAAGCCGGCCUCAGUUCGGAUUGGAGUCUGCAACUUGACUCCA